CCGGCUAAUUUUUUGUAUUUUUUAGUAGAGACGGAGUUUCACCAUGUUAGCCAGGAUGAUAUCGAUCUCCUGACCUUGUGAUUCGCCCGCCUCAGCCUCCCAAAGUGCUGGGAUUACAGGCAUGAGCCACCGCACCCAGCCGAUCUUUGUUUCAUUAAGUAAUGUUUCUCUUUGUCUCUAGCAAUUAAAGUCUACUUUAUCUGAUAUUAUUAUGGCCACUCCUACUUUUGCAAAUGCAAAUGUGCUUUGAGUAUCUUUUCCCAUCCUUUUAUUUUCAGCCUACUUACAUGUAUCAUUGUAUUUGCAGUGUAUAGUAUUUGUAGAUAGCAUGUAGUUGGAUCAUGUAUUUUUUAAUUGGUUCUGCCAAUCUGUUUUCAUUACUGAGUUUAGACCAUUUACGCUUAGAGAAGUAAUUACUGGUAUGUUAGAGCUUAAAUCUGCCAUUUUAUUUGUUUUCUGUUAUUUCCCCUGUUUCUCAUUCCUCUAUUUCCCUUUUCUUGCCUUCCUGUGGGCUACUUGAACAUUGUUAGAAGUUUAUCUUGAUUUAUUUAUAAUGUUUUGAAUAUAUCACUUCGUAUAGUUUUCUUAAUAGUUGCUCUAGGAAUUACAAAAUAUAUAUAUAGUUUACCACAACCUACUGGUAUUAAUAUUUUACCACUUUGAAUAAAGUGUAGAAGCCUUAUUUCCAUUUAUGUCCCUUUGCACUUCCCACUUCUAAAAUGUAAUUGUUUUAGAAGAGGGAAAAAAUAGAUACUGAGGCCUACUUGAGGGUGGAGAAUGAGAGGAAGGUUAGGGUCAAAAAACUACCUAUCAUGUACUAUGCUCUCUACCUGGGUAACAAAAUUAUUUGCACACCAAACCCCAUCAAUGCACAAUUUGCACAUGUAACAAACCUACACAUAUGCCCCCAAACCUAAAAUACAAUUUGAAAGGGAAAAAUAAAAUAUAAUUGUCUUAAAUAUUUCCUUUACAUGUAUUCACCACCACAUCAGAUGCUCUUAUACUUUUUGCUUCAACCAUCAAAUAUGAUUUAAGAAACUCAAGAAAAAUAGAAUAGUCUAUUAUAUUUAUCCCUAUUUUUAUCCAUUCUUAUGGGUUUUUUUUCCCUUCUGAAGUUCUAAGCCUACUUCUGUUAUCAUUUCCUUUCUGCGUAGAUAACUUCUUUUAGCCAUUCCUUAAGAUAGGUUUGUUAGCAACACAUUUUUAGUUUUCCUUCAUCUCAGAAUGUCUCUAUUUCUUCUUCAUUGAUGAAAGAUAUUUUCAUUAGGUAUAGAAUUCACAGUUGACAAUUUGUUUCUUAAAAGAAAAUGCUAAAGCACUUAAAAAAUGCUGCACCUCUUCCUUCGGGCCUCCAUCGUUUCAAAUUCACAUUCAAAUUGGUGUUCUCCUGUAAAUAAUGUUUCUUUUAUCUCUGACUGCUUUCAAGAAUUUUUGUCUUUGUCAUUAGUUUUCAGAAGUUUAACUAUAAUGUGUCAUAGAUAGAUAGAUGAUAGAUAGAUAGAUACAUAGAUAGAUAGAUAGAUAGAUAGAUAGAUAGAUAGAUAGAUAGAUAGAUGAUAGAUAACGUGGAGACAGAGCAUGAACUAGGUACAGUCUCAGUCCUUCAUAUAUUUUCAUUCUACUGAGCUUCUUGGCAGCAGACACUAUGUUUUACUCACUGUUUUAUCAGUGUACUCACUGUCAGGAACCAGCAGAGUCUGGCAUAGAGUGGGCACUCAAUAAAUGUUGGCUGACUGAAUGAGAAGGUAGAAACAAAUAAGUAGAAGAAAGAGAGAAAGAGGAAGAGGAGGGCGAGAGAGAUAAUGAGCCCAAGACAGAGAAGAGAAAGACAAGGAGAAAUGUAUUGAGCCCUUGAAGAAACCAAGUGUUCUACAUGGGACUGGGGGUGGUAUGCCUAGGGGAAGGAGGGUCACAGUGUCUAUAAAGGAGAUAGAUGUAAAAGUCAGUCCUAUGGCCCUAAUAAAAACUACACAAUUACUCAUCGAAGUUUGUUGAACAGAAAUCAGUACGAUCACAGCUACCAUGGACAAAGCUUGAUAUAUUUUGGUUUAGUUUAAAUGAGGGGUAUUGGUUUCAAAGAGAUAUUAAAUUUCGACUCUAAGGGGCUGAAGUCUCGUGUGCCUGUGCGUCUGGUGAGGCUUAGCGGUCACCACUCCCCACUCACCCGCUGCCCACCCCACCUCCGAGGGUGACGCCCCUUGAGGACGUCAGCUCUCCAGCCUAGAAGGCAGCAUUGUGAGGGGCGUGGCCUAGAGGACGUUCUACUCUGGCCACCACGAUCUUGGCAGCCCACACCUGAUCAGGACCUAAAGCGUGAAGGGUGUGAAUGAGGAGAAACGAGGACCGCCUGCUACCCCAGCGUCUGGCCCCCUGGGGACUGAAGGCUGGCUCUGGAGCUGUACCUCGGCAACUGCUAUAAGGCUGCCGAAGCCGCCGCCACUAAGGCGGCCGCCAGCAGCCUGAAUGCAGGCAAGAAGCAGUGCCGCACCGUUAUAUGUCCCUUGAAGGAGUUGAGUAAAUACAGGCAGUAUGUGACUAGUUUAAAAUUAGACUUUGAAAGAAACUGUAUAAGAGAACAAGGUUUCACUCCAAUCACCCAGGCUGGAGUGCAGUGGGAUGCUCUCAGUUCACUGCAGCAUCAACUUCCCGAGCUCAGCAGGAAAGCAGAGUGUACUCAAGAUGAAAGAAAAAAAAAGACGAUAUGAAGACUGUUGCGGGAAGUCAGGGACCCCGAACAGAGGGACCAGCUGGAGCCGUGGCAGAGGAACAUGAAUUGUGAACAUUUCAUGGACAUUUAUCAGUUCCCAAAUAAUACUUUUAUAAUUUCUUAUGCCUGUCUUUACUUUAAUCUUUAAUCCUGUUCUCUUCAUAAAUUGAGAAUGUACAUCACCUCAGGACCACUGUGAUAAUUGUGUUAACUGUACAAAUUGAUUGUAAAAUCUGUGUUUGAACAAUAUGAAAUCAGUGCACCUUGAAAAAGAACAGAAUUAGGGAAAAAGGGAAGACAACCAUAAGGUCUGACUGCCUGUGGGGUUGGGCAAAAAGAGCCAUAUUUUUCUUCUUGCAGAGAGCCUAUAAACAGACAUGCAAGUAGGAGAGAUAUCGCUAAAUUCUUUUCCUAGCAAGGAAUAUUAAUAUUAAUACCCUGGGAAAGGAAUGCAUUCCUGGGGGGAGGUCUAUAAACGGCUGCUCUGGGAGGGUCUGUCUUAUGCAGUUGAGAUAAGGACUGAGAUACACCCUGGUCUCCUGCAGUACCCUCAGGCUUAUUAGGGUGGGGAAAAACUCUGCCCUGGUAAAUUUGUGGUCAGACAAGUUCUCUGCUCUCCAUCCCUGUUUUCUGUUGUUUAAGAUGUUUAUCAAGACAAUAUGUGCACCGGUGAACAUAGACCCUUAUCAGUAGUUCCGCUUUUGCCUUUUGCCUUUUGCCUUGUUAUCUUUGUUGGACCCUUAUCAGUAGUUCUCCUUUUUGCCCUUUGAAGCAUGUGAUCUACCCCCUAUUCUUAUACCCGCUCCCCUUUUGAAGCCCUUAAUAAAAGACUUGCUGGUUUGAGGCUCAGGUGGGCAUCACAGUCCUACCAAUAUGUGAUGUCACCCCUGGCAGCCCAGCUGUAAAAUUCCUCUCUUUGUACUCUUUCUCUUUAUUUCUCAGCCGGCCAACACUUAUGGAAAAUAGAAAGAACCUAUGUUGAAAUAUUGGGGGCAGGUUCCCCCAAUACAGGACCACAUAAGAAGAAAUCUUGAUCUCUGUAGACAAAUUGAAGAGGUGAGUAACACUGGAUUUUAAAUAUUAAGG
rnacentral:lncRNA from 1 species